CGCGGCCUAUCAGCUUGUUGGUGAGGUAAUGGCCCGCCAAGGCACCGACGGGUAGCUGGUCUGAGAGGACGAUCAGCCACACUGGAACUGAGACACGGUCCAGACUCCUACGGGAGGCAGCAGCAGGGAAUCUUGCGCAAUGGGCGAAAGCCUGACGCAGCGACGCCGCGUGGGGGAUGAAGGCCUUCGGGUUGUAAACCCCUUUCAGGAGGGAAGAAAAUGACGGUACCUCCAGAAGAAGCCCCGGCCAACUACGUGCCAGCAGCCGCGGUAAUACGUAGGGGGCGAGCGUUGUCCGGAUUUAUUGGGCGUAAAGGGCUCGUAGGCGGCUUGACAAGUCGGCCGUGAAAACCCAGGGCUCAACCCUGGGAGGCCGGUCGAUACUGUCAUGGCUAGGGUCCGGUAGAGGAGAAUGGAAUUCCCGGUGUAGCGGUGAAAUGCGCAGAUAUCGGGAGGAACACCAGUAGCGAAGGCGGUUCUCUGGGCCGGUACCGACGCUGAGGAGCGAAAGCGUGGGGAGCAAACAGGAUUAGAUACCCUGGUAGUCCACGCCGUAAACGGUGGGUACUAGGUGUGGCGUCUUUAUCAACGGAUGCCGUGCCGAAGCUAACGCAUUAAGUACCCCGCCUGGGGAGUACGG
rnacentral:rRNA from 1 species